UCAUGACCCUGAGAUCAAGAGUUGCAUGCACUACCAACUGA
rnacentral:snoRNA from 1 species